rnacentral:rRNA from 1 species
CACGGGGGGUGCGAGCGUUGUCCGGAAUUAUUGGGCGUAAAGAGCUCGUAGGCGGUCUGUCGCGUCGGCUGUGAAAUCCCGAGGCUCAACCUCGGGCCUGCAGUCGAUACGGGCAAACUGGAGUGUUGCAGGGGAGACUGGAAUUCCUGGUGUAGCGGUGAAAUGCGCAGAUAUCAGGAGGAACACCGGUGGCGAAGGCGGGUCUCUGGGCAACAACUGACGCUGAGGAGCGAAAGCGUGGGGAGCGAACAGG